GUGAGGAUUUCUCCAUAGAUUAACAAUUUUAGGGUACAUGUUUGAAAUGUAACCAUGUUAUAAUGACAAACUUGAGCAAGUAGGCACAAACCCAAAUAAAAUUUAUGUGGCACACACACAAGAUUGAUAAAAUUUAAAAGAGAAAUCAUAUUAAGUGAUGUGACUAAAUUAUUUCUCUUUUAAAUUUUAUCAUUCAAGUGAGUAUGUCUAAAUACUUUUGAUUUGAUUUGGGGUUGUGCCCAACCAACUGUUUCUCGACAAACUUAGCAUGUCAAUACAUGUCAGUUUCUGAAACUCAAACAUUUUGAUUAGGUAAAUACUUCACGGCCAUCUUAAAACACCAUGUAGAGUAUUUUUUUAAAGUAAUAUUUUAUAUUUGGACACCUUUUUUUGAAACACCUAUAAGCAUACAUUCAACACUUCACACCUUUUCUCUUUAUAUCACCCGCUUACCACCAUACCUCUCUCUCUCAAGGUGUUGGAUGGUUUUGCGGGUGGACAUAAAUCAUUUUCUUUUAUUAGCGUCGUUUGGAAUUGUUAUCACUUUAAGAUGAUGGUCAUGCUCUUUUUUCUUUGUCAUACGUUUUUACCUUGUUGUACAAGAAAUUGAGGUAGUUUCUUGACGAGGUCAUUAUCAAAUCUAAGGACUUGCGUAAUAAAUAUUGGCGUGUGCAUCUACGUAGCAAAAGCUUUAUUUGGUGACACAUUUAUUAUUCAAAGGCUUAUGAAUCUUAAGCAUGCUCCCCAAAACAGCUAAAGAUCUGCAGCAGUGAAUGUGUUUUUUCACUACGCCAUUGCCACUGAGAAAGGAACAGCAACCCAACAAAAAAACAGUUUCUUGCGUGUACAUUAAAUUUGGAUAUUAAUAAAUCUCUCAAUACAUUUGCUCCAAUCCAAACCUUAAGUUAACGCCAAACCUUCAAAAAUCUGAUUUUUAUUCCAUUUUUUUGCCAAUGUAACUAAAAAUAAUCACAAGAGGAUAGCAAUUCACAAGAUAACUUAAAAAGUUGCAUACUUAAGCAAAAAAGAGAUCAUGUAUCUAGUUACUCUUCAUCCAGUAAAAUAACUAGGGAAAUCUCCCCCAAACAAGAAAAAUGCAUGACAAAUCCAGAAAAUGUAAAAUAAAUUUGUCAUAGAUAAACUCAAACCAAAUAGUAAUUUACCAUAAUAAAAAAAGAAAGCAAUUUUCCAAAUACAGAUUUUUAUAAGAAUGUUAAAGUUAGUGCACUAACUACAAUCAUACAAGAACCAAGGCUGCUACGGGUAAACAGCAAUUAAGAAAAUAAACUAUGGAUUAACAACUCUAUGCGAAGAUAUAUGAUUCCUGCCUUUCUUGCACCAUAAGUUGAAGAAAUCAUUGUCUAUUUCUUUGCAUAAGUUAUCAACAUAGGGUUUUGUGGGGCUAUCUUGAAACCUUGCAGCGCCUGCAUAGCCACCGUGGAUUGCAUCUCAUCUCCAUAUUCCACAAAGGCAAUUCCUGGCUUUGCUUCAACCAUUCUAACUUCCUUGAAUCCAGGAUAUUGAAGAAACAACAUUUGAAGCAUCAUGGGAGUGGUCUCGUUAGGAAGAUUCUGAAUAAAGAGAAUAUUAUUUGGUGGUGCAGGAGCCUCAGGUAGCAAGGACUUCGCACCGCCUGGAUAAGGUAUCUGGGAUAACUCCAUUAUUAGAAAAAGUGUGUAACAAAUGCAGAAUAAAAUUGUUUGUGCUUCUAUGUAUUAUAGAAUAAUUUGCUUUGAAACAGAUAGUGUCAUCUCAUCUUCAUUAUUUUGAUUCCGGCUUUGAUCAUAAAACUUAACAGUUCGAGAAAAAUUACCAUAAAACAGUUAAAAUUAUGAAGAUGCUAGAUUCAAUGAGACAAAGGUCCAGCACAUUAAGAUGCCUAUAAAAUGACCAUUGACAAAAAUAAACUACAACAGCAGAGAAACUUACAGCAGGAGUUGCACCGUAAGCACCAGCAUAAGCAGGAUUUAGGCCAGUUCCAGCUAAAUUAGCAUCGUUUUGGUCCUUCCUUUUUUUGCCCGCUGAAAAAUGUAAUUGGAUAUGUAAUUUGACUAUGUAUAUUUAUUUAUACAGUACAUAAUACAGAUAUUCAUUAAAAGAGUUGCAUCCAUACUAGACACGAAAAGUCAAAAGUAUAGCGAAAGUCUGUUCUUUGCUGAUGAAGGAAAGCAAAAAAAAAUAUCAUUUAUUGGAUCUUUUCCUUCUUCAUUAUUAAUGCAAAGCCCCUUGGCGACCAAACCAAACAAAAACCCCCACCAACACCAAAAAAGAUAAAACCUAUGAAAUAUAUUGAUUGGCCUUUUGUAGCCAUUAUUGGGCACUCGGUGAGUUGGACCCUCAUUUUGAAGAGAAAACAUGCUUAGUUUAGUUUGUUUAUUUCCAAGAUGAGCUUACACUUAACAGUACAAUAUCCUUUAAAAAAAAAAUAGAGAGCUCAAAGAGUUAUACCUUUGUCAUCGUGCCUCUUUCGUUUUUCCCGAGGAACAAAAGUACCGUCUGCUUUUGCUAUGACAUCAGAUUUAGUCCUGGCAUACUGUAUUCUCUGCAUAGAUUGCAAAAUUGAAUUCAAUUUCUUGCCUGAGAAUAGUUUUAUGGAAAUGAUAUAAACUAACAAACUAUUACAUAUCCGAUGGGGCCAAACAGGCCAAACAAUAAGUUGUCUAUAUCCCACAUUGAGUAGUAUAGAAUGCUCAGUGGUGUACUUGCGUGACCUGGUGCUUCCCCUUUGAUAGAUAGCUUUUAAGGGAGGGUUUCCCAAGUGCUUAGAUACUGAUUAAUUGGUAUCAGAACUGGUCGUCAGUUGCUCGUAAAGAGCUACCGACAGAGGAGCUGAGCGGAAAGGCCGCAUAAAGCGCUGUAGUAUGCCAACCCGUCAGGUUGUCAUCUCUCUCAGGGGUGGUGCUACAAUAGAUUAGAGAUUUGUUAUGGGGUGCCCACGUCCCACAUCAAGUAGUAUGGGAUGUUUGGUGGUGUAACUAAGUUGUUUGGUUCUUCCCCCUUGAAUCUUGAUUGCUAGCUAAGGGAAGGUUCCCUAAGUACUUGAUACUUGUCUAAUUGUAAUAAAAUUAAUUUUUCAUGAUAAAUUCUACUUUUAACUGAUUUAGCUGUAGACCAAAAAAAUCUAUUUAGCAUGGGGAAAAUGGAUAGAUAUUAAAUAAAAAAUUCAUUAAAAUUUUGCUGAAGAUUUGAAAAAUAUAAAACAGGUCUAGCCAGCACGAAAAAUAACACAUAUCACAGGCUAGCAUAUGACCAAUUAAAAUAAAGCUCCAGCAGCACAAAUCAAGCAACGGUUAUUGGAGCACGCACUGAUAGAAAGCAUUUUUUAUAGCUUCAAAACACUCAGAUAGAACUAACUGCAAAUCUCACCAUGUCACACCAUCCAUUAAGAUAGACCAUAAAUCACAUAAUUUUAUUUUUCUGUGCUAAAUAAAUCUACAAUAUAAUUUCAUCCACAGAAUUGUGACAAAGCUAGCUCAAUAGAACCAAUUAGUAGUUGUUCACAACAAAAGUGGACUGUGACUUCAUGCAAAUUUUACUUCCAAUGUCAGAAAUAUAAAUCUUUGAAUCACGACUUUGGGGAGGACCAACCCCCCCCCCCCCCACAAGCAUUUUUUAUAGCUUCAAAACGCUCAGAUAGAACUAACUGCAAAUACCAUACAUCGCAUAAUUUUAUUUUUGUGUGCUAAAUAAAUAUGACCACUGGAACUAAAUCAGUCCUUGGCAUCAGUUUUGCUAUUUCCUAGCGUCCUACACUAUGUCUAAAAUCCAUUAUCCUUCCAAGAAAAACAUCUUCCUAUUCUGUUCAAUGAGGGUAGGGGAGGGACUUGAAGCAUGUCUACAACAACAACAAAAAGCAAACUUUAUCCCGUUGGCUACAUGGAUCAAAUUACGUCAUAAUGUUCUAUCAUAAAACAUAUUUUGAUAACUCGUUAAUCUCUAAAUCUUUCUUAAUAGUUUCUCUUAUAAUUUUUCUAGGUCAUCCUCCACCUCUAGUGAUCUGAUAAAUAGUUUCUCACAUCUAAUAAAGAUGAUUUAUUCCAUAAAUAGCAUAGAACACAAUAGUCACAAUUGCCACAGUGCCACUCAUCACAAGACAAUAUCAAUUGACAUGUUUAAACAGUUCUCUUCUUCCUUCCGCAUUUUCAUUUAGAAAGAUCAACAUAAUAUCUAUAGAAGAGACACGACUGGAUACUAAAUAAGCAUUACACAUUUACACCGAAACAUUCUUUUUUGUUUUCACAAAUCCAAUGGCAUGUUAACUAUUCUAAAUCUCCAAACAAAUUUCAGCUAGAGAAACCUAUGUCAUGUUGAAGAUUGUUAUAUAUUCCAUUCCAUUCCAUGUUUAAUAAUAACUAGCAUUGUCAUAAAUUAGAAUGAAAUUACACCCUAAAAAUUCUAACUAAAAAACUAAUCCUAAUAAAAAAGAAAACACCUUAAAUUAAAUUAAAAAUACGAAGUAAAACACAAUUUCAAAUUUGAAAAGUGAAAUUGAAGAGCAUAUGAUAGUACCAUGGGCUUAUCAUAGAAGGGGAAACCUUGCAUUUACCUAAGAGCAUUAGAAGCAGAAGUAACAUCCUCAAAAAUCACCCAAGCUUGACCCUUAUGUUUCAGAGUCUUGAAAGCCAAAACCUCAAGUAUCUUCCCAAAUUGGCUGAAAACAGCGUGCAAAGAUUUCUUCAACUCUGCAUCAAAAUUGAAGUAUAUAAAUAAAAAGAGUAUAUAAGUGUAUCUAUAUUGAAAAAUUGAUGUUAUGAAAAAAAAGAACGAACCAUCGAUUUUGAUUUUUUCGUUGAGGUUGUUGAUGUAGAUGGUCAUGUUUUGAGGGGGUUCGGGGUUAGCGUUAACUUCAGCCAUGUAUUAGUUGAGAUUUCGAAGAUGAAAGAGAGAGUGAGGUUCUUCACGACGGGGGUAAGGUAAACCCUAUAAGCCACUGCCGGAGAAGCUGACCUGUGUGCGACGAGUGUUUUUUUGUUUGAACUAUUUUGGGCUUUAGGCCAUCUUGUCAUGUGGGUCUAUUAAUAUCAACCCCAAUUCAAUAUAAGCUCGAAGUACAAUUUGAGAAAAUUGUUCUUUAGACACCUAGCAAUUACUCACAACCAUCUUACAAAUCCAAAAAUGCUCUCCACGCUAGUUAACUACCAUUCUAUCUUGAACGGUCAAAAAUUACUGUUCCGGUGUUGCCAUAUACAUAAUGUAUUUUGCUUGGUUUUUCAGUUUUUUUGGGUAUAAUUCCAUCGGAACAAGAGUUAAAUGUCAUUCAUGAGCGAACCGUAAGUUAACUACCGUUCAAUUUCUAUUUUAAAGUGCUUAUGAACGAUUGAUAGGGGCCUAAAGAGUAAUAUUCACAUGUUUAUACAAAUUUUUACUAGUAAUAUAAAGGCAGCAUAAUAACAUUAUGAAAACCUAUGAAUAUUUUUUAAAAAAUCAACACUAAUAUACUAUUUUUAUAAAAUAUUGUUUAUUUUGUAUGUGAAAAAUACUUAAAACGUUUGUGCCAUGUCCAUCUUAGAUUUUAUGUGUUUGUAUCGGAAAGAUUUGCUUUUUAUGUCCCAUUAAUUUGUAUUUGGUACAUAAAGUCGAUACCGUUCAUGUUCGUCUUGUGCAUGAAUUUGGUUAUUAAUAAAUUUCGCCGUUUAAAAAGAAAGUUGAUACAAUAAAAAUUUUAAGGCUAAAAUAUGGUUUUAGUCCCUGCAAAUAUGCCCCAUUUUGGUUUUAGUCCCUGUAAAAAUAAAAUUUUGUUUUUGGUCCCUGCAAAAUUUUUUGAAAUAUUUUACAGGGACCAAAAACUACAAAAUUGGUUCAGUUAUAACGUGCCACGUAUGCAAAUCAUCACAAAAGUGGGGUCAGAGACUAUUUUCUAAAACAAUUUUUUGCAGUGACCAAAAACAAUUUUUUUUUUAUAGGGACUAAAACCAAAACGAGACAUAUUUGCAAGGACUAAAACCAUAUUUUAGCCAAAUUUUAAAAACUCGUGAGUAUUUUCCAAAUACCAACAUUAAUGUGGUAGUUUUUUUGUAAAAUAUUAGCAUUUACACUUUUCUCGUUGUGGAUUUUAAGUGUAUAUAUAUAUAUAUAUAUAUAUAUAUAUAUAUAUGUGUGUGUGUGUGUGUGUGUGUGUGAGAGUAAGAAUUUUUAAAAAAUAAACGAAAAUGUGAGUGAUGAUGUAUUAACAAAUCUUGAAGCAGGUCAAGUAUAAUCUGCGUAUAGUAAAAUCAAGGACUAUUAUAGUUUUUGUCCACUUAUUUUCACUUAUUAACAAAAUUAGUUACUCCAUUUUAAAACAACGUAGUUUGAUCCCUCUAUCAGAUAUACGAUCUAAUGAUGUAGAGUGAUCAACUAUAAAAAAAUUAUAAGAAAACUUAAAAAAAUUCACUAUUUAUUAAGUACAAAAAUUUAAGGAAAGCACCAAACUAUAAUUUUAAAAUGAAAGGACCAAUUUCCUAAACCAAGAUUGUUCAAAUUUAAGAAUUUUCUACCAUGUAAUGUUAAAUGGGUUAUUUCAGACGGUUUAUUAAAAGAAAUAAAAGAAAAUAAGUAUCCAUAGCUAACUAAACUACAUGCACCAAACAAUUUUCCAAAGAUAUUUCUCUCGAAUGGAAUGAAAUGAGUUGGAAGGUUCUCCUCCAAAUGCCUAAUCGACCAAUUAUAGUUGUCCACAUCUAAUAUCUAUACAGUUGUUGUAACAAUGAUGAACAAGUUUCGUGGAAGUAUCUUAGACUAGAGAGAGCCAAGUCAAAAAGCAAGUCCAGAUUCAGCUCACUCACUUGUUAAUUGUGUUAUUCAUUUCAUCCACCGCAAUUAAUUGACUCCACCAUGACUUGUGAUUCACGACCUGGUCUCCCUCCCACAAAGCCACCCCACGCUCCCAGGUCCCACCUUUCACAUAUACUUUUCCACCGUUCCUUCGAUUGUCUUUUUCGCCGCCCUUCCUUCCACUUUAUAUAUUUGGAAACUUCUUUUCCUCAAAAUACUCUUUCUUCCUAAGAAAUAAACAUUAAAACCAAAAUUCCAGAAUAUUCAAUAAAUUAAUAGAAUAAAAUUAUUUAAAAUCAGAUUUGAUUUUUUGUUUGAAUUUCUACUACCACGUGGCAACAAAACAUAGGUUACAUAUUAAUGAUGAUUUAGUUAUAAUCGUGCACCUAAAUUAUCUCCGUAAUUAUGCGUGACGCGUCCUCAAUUUUCUCAACCUUAUAUAAUGCCCCCUACUCACCUAUUCUUCACACAACAAAACUCUUUUCUUUUCUUAGCUAAGGUGGCACAUAGUCCAUAACAAUAGCUUAGCUUAAACUGUGGAAAGCUUAUUCUGUUCAUAACUGCUUAUAUUUUGUUUUUCAAAUCAAACAAAUAAGCUUUCCGUAGUUCAAUAUGGCUCGUUCUUUCGCUAACGCUAAGGUUUUAUCUGCUGUUGUCCUUGAAGGAUUCUCCAACACUCUCACAAGGUACGGUGUUUCUUCAUGUUAUGUUUUUUAACGUUCUUAUGUUUCUUAACCUCAGGGUUCAAACACCUAUUUCUUAACUUUAAAUUUUAAUGUUUUGAAUGAUAUUGUUUUAAUAUAUGGUUUUUUUUUUUUUUAAUCAAUUAAACAGGCGUGGUUACGCGGCGGCAACAGAAAGUGCAACAAGGGUAGUAGGAGGAGUGGUGUCUGUUGGCAACAAGAUGGGACCCACAAAGUCUGGGGAAGAUGGUUCUUCGACUUAUAAGGUUUCAUGGGUUCCAGAUCCUGUCACUGGUUACUACAAGCCUGAGAAUAUUAAGGAUACUGAUGCCGCUGAUUUACGUGCUAAGCUUCUCCGCAAAAAAUUUAACAACUAAUUUCAAUCCAUUCAAGAAAUAGAUUUAUAUUAUGUAUUUUGGGUUUGUUAUUUCAACCGCGGAUCUCAUGAGCUUUUGGGGUCGAUUGUAGAUGGCUUAUUAAAGCCUUGAUUGAUUCUGUUAAUUGUGAAGAUCCUACUCUGUUGGUUUAUUCCUCUGUUUAUUCACUUUGUUAGUGUUUUUGCGAACCAGAAGAAUGAUGAUUAGUUGCUGAUCAUAAGUGUUAUGGUGUCUUCUAGUCUAAUUCAAUGGAAUUUAUUUUAGGUUUUUUCUAGAUUACCUUUGAAGUUUGAAGAAUGGUGGGUAAUUUAUUGGUAGGGUCAAGAUAGUUCAUGGAUACCACUUAAAAAUGUGUUUAUGUGGCUAAUGUGUAUUGGUUGAGGUAAAUUACCUACCAUUCUUCCAUGGGUAUUCUAGUUGUCACCUUUAUUUUAUGAUUAAAUAUGUUUUUAAUCCUUAUAAAUAUACCAAUUUUUCGUUUUAAUCCCUCUAAAAAUUUCCUUCAAUUUUUAGUCCUUAUAAAAUUUUCAAUCAGGUCCCUAUAUUUAAGUUAAUUUUUGUAUUUUUAAAUGAAAUUAUGCAAAAAUGUUAAUAAUAUUGUAAAAAAAAAUUCCCAAAAAAAAACUAGAAUUUUUUAGCAAAACACAAAUUAAAUAUGAAUUUUUAACCUUCAAAAAUAUAAAAAUUCAUAUUAAAUUCAUGUUUAGUUAAAAAAUUCUAAAUUUUUUUGAGAGAGAUUUUUAUAAUAUUAUAAAUUUUUCUGAAAAAUUUCAUUAAAAAAUAUUAAUUUUAUAUAAGAGUUUAUUUAAAAGAGGGGCCAAAAAUGAAGAUGAAAAAAUUUUAAGGAACUAAAAGUUGAAGGAAAAUUUUAGAAGGAUUAAAAUGAAAAGUUGGUAUAUUUAUAAGGACUAAAAACAUAUUUAACCCUUUAUUUUAUUUUUAAUAAUUGGUUUUAGUGUUUGCUCAAAAAAGAAAAGAAAAAGAUAAUAAUAAAAGAAUACUCUCUCCUUCAAAAUAACAGGUUAAGAUCUUAUUCAUUUGCUAAAAAUUAAUGGACAAUGUCAUUAGUCAUUGGUGAGACAACAAAAAGUAUAUAGUGGAUUCUUCAUUCAAAAAAAAAUAAAAAAUAUAGUAGAUUCUAGUAUUAAGUGGACACUACUAUUAAUUACUCCUUCUUUGUGUUUUUUAUCUCACCAAAAUAACACCGUUUGUGCACGAUUAGAUUAUGG
rnacentral:lncRNA from 1 species